CGCAGCUUGCACAGAAGGUAUGGGAAUGGCAUUACUGCUUUAUUCUUUGCCUUGGUCUACACAGGAAUAAAGCAAAGAAGAAACUGGUGCCUAAGGUCACACUGAUAAUAGAUGAAGUGAUGGAGCAAGGAUUCAACCGCCAGCAGUUCGGUUCCUCAGCCUAUUACAAAACAUAUGGCAGAAUGUUAAUAUAGAGAAGACAAUGCUUUCCAGGAGAUGUGAUCAGUGACUAUAACUGGAAUAAAGGUCCCUGUUCAUCCUGCCACCUGUCAAUGGAGGGCAGGAGGGCAUCCUGCCAUCACUAAGUCUUCCCUACUGGGGGGCAGAAAGGAGGCUCUGCCAUGGAAACCAGGACAUGGAGAAGCUGUAUUAGGUACCCACGAUGGGAUGUUGUUCCAAAAAAUAAAGCAAUCCUUAAGGAUUUUUAUUCAUAAUACCUU
rnacentral:lncRNA from 10 species